rnacentral:ncRNA from 1 species
AAUAAUCUUCAGGGCAGGGUGAAAUUCCCUACCGGUGGUAUAGCCCACGAGCCUUUAUGGCAUGAUUCGGUGAGAUUCCGAAGCCGACAGUAAAGUCUGGAUGAAAGAAGAUAUAG